CUCACUGUUGAAGGGCACCUCUGGUCAUUAUAUCAGUCCUGACACUCACCUCGGAAGGAGUUGAGCCUUGCAGUCAGCCCAGGAAUGGAAUGGGCACGGAGUCUUGGUAUCAUACCCUGUGGCAUGUCCAGCUUUGCCGCUAGCUUACUCCUGCAAGGAGAAGACAUUGAUAUGCUAAGAUUAUCAUCCCAGUGAUGAGGAGAAAUCUUCACUCAGAGCUAAGUCAGGGUAUCCUGGCUUACACUGAGGACUAAACUCACCUUCUGAACAAGUCAUCCAAGUCCUGCAAACAAAACAAGAGAAGCUUAGUUACCUAAAGAAACAGAACACAAUGUGGUUUCAUAUAUAUGAGAUUUAUUUAUUCAUUUUA